rnacentral:rRNA from 1 species
UACGACUACAUAUCAGGCAUAUCAAUAAGCGGAGGAAAAGAAACUAACUAGGAUUCCCUUAGUAACGGCGAGUGAAGCGGGAAGAGCUCAAAUUUGAAAUCUUCAAGGUUUUACCUUGACGAAUUGUAGUUUAAAGAAGUGUUUUCUGUUGGAUGUUUUGGUAAAAGUUCUUUGGAAUAGGACAUCAUAGAGGGUGAGAAUCCCGUAUUUGACCAUUACUUCCAGCGUUGUGAUACACUUUCAAAGAGUCGGAUUGUUUGGGAAUGCAGUCCAAAAUGGGUGGUAAAUUUCAUCUAAAGCUAAAUAUUGGCGAGAGACCGAUAGCGAACAAGUACCGUGAGGGAAAGAUGAAAAGAACUUUGAAAAGAGAGUUAAACAGUACGUGAAAUUGUCAAAAGGGAAGCGUUUGACACCAGUGUUGUUUUCUCGAAAAUCAAUUAAAAAUGACCGGAUUUUGUGUUGUAUUGACUUUAUCAGCUUUCUGCACUUUUUUCUUAGUCUUUUUUAAUGCACUUUUCGUUUAACAAGUCAACAUCAAUUUCUUUUGUUGUAAAAGGGUCAUUGGAAGGUGGCUUUCACUUCGGUGAAAGUGUUUAUAGCCUUUGACUUCUGCAAUCGGAGAGAUUGAGGUCUGCAGCGUAGACUCUUCGGGGUUAGAUACAUUUGUGCUAAGUUAUAGCUUUUCAUAGACAACAUUGUUGACUAUGAUUAAAUCAUUGUAGCUUACUCGCUUAUGCUAUUUUACCUACGCUUAGGAUGUUGAACGCGCACAGAGUCUC